AGAGUUUGAUCCUGGCUCAGAUUGAACGCUGGCGGAAUGCUUUACACAUGCAAGUCGAACGGCAGCACGGGGGCAACCCUGGUGGCGAGUGGCGAACGGGUGAGUAACACAUCGGAACGUGCCCAAUCGUGGGGGAUAACGUAGCGAAAGCUACGCUAAUACCGCAUACGAUCUACGGAUGAAAGCGGGGGAUCGCAAGACCUCGCGCGAAUGGAGCGGCCGAUGGCAGAUUAGGUAGUUGGUGGGGUAAAGGCUCACCAAGCCAACGAUCUGUAGCUGGUCUGAGAGGACGACCAGCCACACUGGGACUGAGACACGGCCCAGACUCCUACGGGAGGCAGCAGUGGGGAAUUUUGGACAAUGGGCGCAAGCCUGAUCCAGCCAUUCCGCGUGCAGGAUGAAGGCCUUCGGGUUGUAAACUGCUUUUGUACGGAACGAAACGGCCCUUUCUAAUACAGAGGGCUAAUGACGGUACCGUAAGAAUAAGCACCGGCUAACUACGUGCCAGCAGCCGCGGUAAUACGUAGGGUGCAAGCGUUAAUCGGAAUUACUGGGCGUAAAGCGUGCGCAGGCGGUUAUGUAAGACAGUUGUGAAAUCCCCGGGCUCAACCUGGGAACUGCAUCUGUGACUGCAUAGCUAGAGUACGGUAGAGGGGGAUGGAAUUCCCGCGUGUAGCAAUGAAAUGCCGCAAAUAUGCGG
rnacentral:rRNA from 1 species